rnacentral:rRNA from 1 species
AGGGUUCGAUCAUGGCUCAGGACGAACGCUGGCGGUGCGCCUUAUGCAUGCAAGUCGAGCGAAGCUUUUCAGUAGUUUACUACAGAAAAUGACUGAGCGGCGAACGGGUGAGUAACGCGUGAGCAAUCUACCUUAGUUACAGGGAUAGCCCGAGGAAACUCGGAUUAAUACCUGAUAUUCUUUAUUUCUCGCAUGAGAAUAAAAGGAAAGGUCAGCCGAACUAAGAUGAGCUCGCGUUCUAUCAGCUAGUUGGUGAGGUAAAAGCUUACCAAGGCUACGACGGAUAGCUGGUCUGAGAGGACGAUCAGCCACACUGGGACUGAGACACGGCCCAGACUCCUACGGGAGGCUGCAGCAGGGAAUAUUGUGCAAUGAACGAAAGUUUGACACAGCGACACCGCGUGUGGGAUGACGGAUCUAGGUUUGUAAACCACUUUCAGGAGGGAAGAAAAUGACGGUACCUCCACAAGAAGCCCCGGCCAACUACGUGCCAGCCGCCGCGGUAAUA